UACGGGGGGCGCAAGCGUUGCUCGGAAUCACUGGGCGUAAAGCGUCCGCAGGCGGCUCGGUCAGUCGGGUGUGAAAGCCCGGAGCUCAACUCCGGAACUGCAUUCGAUACUGCCGAGCUCGAGUACGAGAGAGGAUGGCGGAAUUCCUGGUGUAGAGGUGAAAUUCGUAGAUAUCAGGAGGAACACCGGUGGCGAAAGCGGCCAUCUGGCUCGAUACUGACGCUCAUGGACGAAAGCGUGGGGAGCAAACAGG
rnacentral:rRNA from 1 species